rnacentral:rRNA from 1 species
AGGGUUAACGCUGGCGGCGCGCAUAACACAUGCAAGUCGAGCGAGGGCUUAUUUCCCGCAAGGGAGAUGAGUUCCUAGCGGCGAACGGGUGAGUAACACGUGGGCAACCUUUCCUAUCGCGGGGGAUAACACCGGGAAACCGAUGCUAAUACCGCAUGUCGUCACUGGUCGAUUGGCUGGUGAAGAAAGCAGCAAUGCACGAUGGGGUGGGCCCGCGGCCUAUCAGCUAGUCGGUGGGGUAACGGCCUACCGAGGCUAUGACGGGUAGCUGGUCUGAGAGGACGGCCAGCCACACGGGGGACUGAGACACGGCCCCGACUCCUACGGGAGGCAGCAGUGAGGAAUCUUCCGCAAUGGGCGAAAGCCUGACGGAGCGACGCCGCGUGUGGGAUGAAGUCCUUGGGAUGUAACCACUGUCGGAGGGGAAGAUAGUGACGGUACCCUCCAAGAAAGCCCCGGCUAACUACGUGCCAGCAGCCGCGGUAA